CAUUUCUAGCCUGUGAGGGGGCCUACCAAAAUACCACAUUUUCAGCCUGUGACGGGGCCUGCCAUAAUAACAAGAUAAACCCAAAGUCCCUUUUCAUACAAUCCAGUUUACAUCCCACACAUCAAUUCCUUUAUAUUUAUUUCCGGCUUUAAACUAACCACGGUCACGUUUCCAGCCCAUGACGGGGCAACCAAUAUCACAUAGUUAGUUUAGAGCACCACAUCCAUCAGUCCAAUUAUGUAGGUGUAAGUUAUGCGCAUGCAUGCAUCUAUCAUUAUACCAAGCACAAGCAAAGACGAUCAAAAUAUAAUUUAAAUAUAAAAAUCAUUUUGUUUUGCCUGGAUCAUAGCAUAUCAAACAUAUAUAUAUAUAGUGCAAAAUAUUUAUAUCAUGUAGGAUUGGCGUACAAAGAUUCUUAUCCUUUGUUGAAAACUCAGACAAACUAAUCACCGUCCUUACGGCGAUCUAUGAACCGGAAUGCGCAGGACUCCGCUCAGCGUCCUCUCGUCCAAUAGAUUGUCCCCCUACAGAAUCAAGACAAUAUUAAAAAUUAUCCAGAGUAUCUGACAAUCCAAAACCCUCCAUUGACCUACGACUAUCCAGCAAUCCUUACAAACCAUGGUCUCCUCGUAUCAAACUAGAGAGAGAAAACUCCAAUCUAGAGAGAGAAACUGGAGAGAGAAAUAAUCCAAGUAGAGAGAGGAACUAAUAAACAAGAGAGAGAACCUAGGAGAGAGAAGAGAGGAGAGAGAAAACUCUUCCUCCUUCUCAAAAUAGGGGGAACCGAUCCAUCUCCCUCUCUUCUUGGAUCAGGGUGGCACAGCCACCAAGGUGCCCAUCCUCGGCGACGACGGCCGGCCAGUGACGGCCAUCAACUGCGGCACCACCGGCGACGGUGGUCGGCCGGCGGCCAACCAACGAGGGGAAGAAAAGGAGAUGGGAUCACGAGGAAGGAGAUCUCGGUCCACCUCUUCCCAUCCCCUCUAAAACCCUAGAAAUCCCUCUCAACCAACCCACAGUCCCGAUUCAACCCCCAAGACCAUAGAUCCGGCCAACCCGGCGGCCGGCGGCGGCGAAAUCCGAAAGAGAGGGGCCGAAACAGGGGUACCCUGUUUCGGAUCCCUCUCCGACGGCUUCACCGGCCAAAAACCCCUCCAACGCCCCCAAAAUCCAGAACAUGAAGCAUAAGGAAGGGAGCCCCACUUACCUCGGUCCGACGGUGUGCUCCGGCGACCUUUCCGGCGAGGAAUCGGCGGAGAAAUUGUGAGCAACUUGCGGAGGGUCUUCACCGAAGGAAAGAGGAAGGCUCCCCCCCCGCGGCCGGCCGGAUCUCGGACCUCUCCGGCGAGUCGCCUCUCCAACAACGCCGCCGCCGCCUCCCCCUUUGCACCCUCCCUUCAUCCACCACGAUCGUGCCUAAGGCACGAUCAUAAUAAGGGGAUGGGCCCGGUCUUUUCGGGCCGGCCCGUCCCCCUUUCCUUUUUUUUUUGUUUUUU
rnacentral:lncRNA from 1 species